GGGGGGUUAGCUCAUCUGGCUAGAGCGCAACACUGGCAGUGUUGAGGAGAUCGGUUCGAGUCCUAUACUCUCCA
rnacentral:tRNA from 1 species